AUUGAACGCUGGCGGCAUGCCUUACACAUGCAAGUCGAACGGCAGCACGGGGGCAACCCUGGUGGCGAGUGGCGAACGGGUGAGUAAUGCAUCGGAAUGUACCCAGUAGUGGGGGAUAACUAGUCGAAAGACUAGCUAAUACCGCAUACGCACUACGGUGGAAAGCGGGGGAUCGCAAGACCUCGCGCUAUUGGAGCAGCCGAUGUCCGAUUAGGUAGUUGGUGGGGUAAUGGCCUACCAAGCCCGCGAUCGGUAACUGGUCUGAGAGGACGACCAGUCACACUGGGACUGAGACACGGCCCAGACUCCUACGGGAGGCAG
rnacentral:rRNA from 1 species